ACAUUUUUAUUUUUAUUCUUCUGAUUCUAGGAAAUUGUUCUGGUUACCUACUAGCUCAGGAAAGCCAGGAGAUUUGUGGCCUUCAUUCUCCUUGGAUUUACAUUUUAUUUACAAGAGCUGAAACCAAACUUGUGGAACUCCUGCAGUCAGAUGUCUUCAACUCACACUGUGAGGGCACACCGUGUCCGAGGAGCACUCUCCCAAAAUACUACAUUCUUGUCCAAAACUUCAUCUGUACGGGGAACAGCACAGAGCUUGUUCUUUGUGCAACUCCUUACUGUAAAAAUCACAAACAACUGCAUCAGAGUUUGGCAUCUGGACUUUAACACAGUACCCAACAUCAGUUCUGUGCAGACAAACACAGAAAAGGAGGCUCAGGGGUGACCUUAUUGCUCUCUACAGGUACCUUAAAGGAGGCUGUAGCGAGGUGGGGGUUGGCUGGUUCUCCCACAUGCCUGGUGACAGGAUGAGGGGGAAUGGGCUAAAAUUGCUCCACGGGAGGUUUAGGUUGUUAGGAUGUUAGGAAGAACUUCUUUACCGAAAGGGUUGUUAGACAUUGGAACAGGCUGCCCAGGGAAGUGGUGGAGUCACCAUCCCUGGAAGUCUUUAACAGACGUUUAGAUGUAGAGCUUAGGGAUAUGGUUUAGUGGGGACUGUUAGUGUUAGGUCAGAGGUUGGACUCGAUGAUCUUGAGGUCUCUUCCAACCUCGAAAUUAUGCGAUUCUGUGAAACCCCACAGGGGAGCGGUGGCAUCACGACCUGGGACAACUCAAGCGAAGAAUCCCAGGGAAGGCAGAAAGGCUGCCACAUCUCAGCUUAGCCAGCCCACCCUGAGCUCAGAAAACAAACCCUCUGCAGACAGAGGCAGAGUGAGCUAUUCCGAUUUCCUUUCCAGGUUGUGCAGCGGCUUCCCCUCCCCGCCAGAUAACCCUUCAUGUUUUCGUGCCCGUUACACCCCCGCCUUGCCCUGCCCUCACCUCACGCCUCAGGGCUACCCGGACCCGCCGCUCGGCUUCGCGCGCCACCCUCCCUCCACCAAUCACCGAGCUCCGUCCGGGCGGCCGCGCGGGAUCCCACCAACCAGAUGGCGGCUUCUUGACACCUCCCCGAAGCACCACCGCGGCUCCCCAGCGCCGUGGCGUCCCGCUUUGCCAGCGACCCUAAUGGCGGCCCCGGCGGCGCGGGGGGGAGGCCCGGCGGAGACCGCUCUGUUUAAGGCUGUUUCUUGGAGGUUACCCACAUUUCUGAUGUAGUCCUACCCAGCCUAGCUGCUAGAAGGCACAGCAGAGACCCACCCUACUCCAAGCAGAGAGACAGUCUUGAAGGUUAGUGAGGGUGUGAGGGCUUAAUAGCCCUGUGCUGGUGGGCUUGGCCAGCAGCAGGGCUAGGGGGCACAGAGGAUUGGCCAAAAGACAAGUCCUUCAGUAGAGUUGCCCAAAAGGAGAGUCAGGGACUGGCAAAUUGCCCUGCCCCCAGGCCUGUGGGAGGCAGGGUUUGCUCUCAGGUGGUUGGGUUUUUAGCACCUGUAAUUGCAAAUGGGACUGCUUCUACCAAAUAAAGCACUUCUGUGCUCUGUCCAGAGUGCCCUUGAGUGAGUGGUGGAAAGGAGGUGUUAAGGAGCUGCACAGAGCUCCCGAUUCCCCUUCCCAGUAGUGAGUCAGCUUACUGCCAUGUUUCUAAACACAGUUGUUCAUCAUAAAACUUUAAUGGAACAUGUUAUGAAAAUAUCAAAAUACACAAUCUGCUGAACUGAACGGUGCCUUUUCCACCUCAGGGCUGUGCUUUGUUUUGAACGAAUGUAUGAGUUUGAUCUUGCUAAUGGCCUUCAGGUGCUGUGUCUGUUUUGGGGAACUCAGAAAACACGCUCCCGUCAGCAUGACAUUUGGUAAAUAUGUCCAAAUGGCAAACGUUGGUGUGAGAGGGUGUUUUUUUUGGCCUCGAUUUACUAUAAGCAAUUAUGCAUUACUAUAAGCAAUUAUGCACCCUUAUUUAUAAACUGGAGAAAAAGCUGCUCUUUUAUCUAUGAGUCAGUGUACACCAGCAAAAAUUGAUUUGCUAGAAGCUCCUAUAAAUACAGCAUGGUCUUGUUUAUUUUACUUUGAGCUGCUGCCUUUUUGUCAUUUUCAGGCAUUUCAUUUUUUUUUUUAAUGGAGGUUGUUAUAAAAUCCUGGUUCCCAUAGCAACCUGUGUCAUGAUGAUGAAUGACAGCUGUCACUUUUGUGGUGAAUUCUUCAUACAUUGGCUGUAAAAUGUUUCAGUUGUCAUUUAAGGCAUCAUGCCACAAAGCAGAUGAUGUCUCAUCGCUCUGCAGAAGCUGGAGGGGCCCUUACAACUUCCAGAAUUGUGCCUUUUGUUGCAUUUUUCACUUUCAAUCAGACUGAAUACAUGCUGUGUCUUUCUGUGACAGGCUUAGCAUACCUGAAGCAGAAAAGAUAAAGCAAUCCUUUAAUCUCUAAACACUCCUUUUUAUUUUUAUUUUUUUUCCAAGAAUGAAAAAAUGAACACUACAAAGAUUUUCAGAUUUAUUAUACCUUAAUUUGAAACAGCGUUAGCUCCUGUGGAAACAGUAAAAUAAACUAAACUAGUUCGGUCAUUCUUUUGAUCAUAUCUGCCAAUUGCUUCUCAAGUCACCAGAAAAAAACACAAUACAAAUAAAAGUGUUCUUUUGAGUGUCAUCUUUUUGUGUAGCAUCUUGUUUUACCAAUCUUAAUCUUGCAAGUAAACUGAUAUUCUGACUGAGGGCUGUUUACCUGAGACAGAGGCCUGUGUGCCAAAGCUAUUUCUUACUGCCCUUCUCCCUCCUUGUUGCUCAGCUCUUGUUUUAAGUCUCCACUGUCCUGUGGAACAAGUCUC
rnacentral:lncRNA from 1 species